CUCAAUAAAACUUUUCCCAGAUUGGGUAGCAAAAGCACCUUUGGUCACCUGAAUGGACAG
ensembl:misc_RNA